rnacentral:rRNA from 1 species
UACAGAGGGUGCGAGCGUUAAUCGGAAUUACUGGGCGUAAAGCGUGCGCAGGCGGUUCGUUAAGUCAGAUGUGAAAUCCCCGGGCCCAACCUGGGAACUGCAUUUGUGACUGCAUGACUAGAGUACGGCAGAGGGGGAUGGAAUUCCGCGUGUAGCAGGUGAAAUGCGUAGAGAUGUGGAGGAACACCGAUGGCGAAGGCAGCCUCCUGGGCCAGCACUGACGCUCAUGCACGAAAGCGUGGGGAGCAAACAGG